GAGUGUUCCCAAAGUGCCAAGUGUUGCGACUCGAACGGUUAAACGUACCACCCACCCACCAUCUCAACCAGGGUGCUGGUUGGUCUAAUGUUACAAGUGCGGUGCCCGAACCCAAUGCAAACGACAUUCCACCGUGUGAUCAACACGAUCUUCACAAGUUGAUUCAUAUCGAGCCCUGAUGAAGAUCCCAACCAUAGGAUCGAAACGUAGGCAAUGAUUUAGAAUAAUCAACGCUUUUUCUGUGACUGAAAGCCGAAAAACUACCAAGUU